GGAGGAAUGGACAGGGUGGCGAGACCAAGUAACUGCUCCAAGGUCCCAGGCUGGGCGGCGGAGCUCGGCUCGGUCAGACGCGGAUCCAGGCCGGACUCCACGUCUUCCUGCUCCGAAACUGAGGGCCAGUGGAGGCACAGGGUGUAAGCAGUGCUUCUCCAUCCGGAAUGUGCCGAUGCAUCCACCUGGGAAACUUGUUACAACACAGAUGCACAUUCAGUUGAUCCAAGGUGGGUGAGGAAACGGGGACAAAUGCCAGAUUCCUGAUCAGAUUAAAGGCUGGACAGAGAUGCGUCCAUCAGAACCAGAUGAACAGAAGUCAACAGAUGCAAUGUCUAUCCAUCAUGUAGGUUGCCCACAAAAUCAAGAUGGCCAGGAAGCAGCUGGUAUUUACACCUGGGGCUCUCCCCUUGCCCUCACUUGGGCAGAGGCAGAGAAAGAACGUUGCCCAGCAGCACUUUGGGGAGUUCCCCCUCACACACACAUUCCAUGAUAAUCCGCUUCAGUUGUUAUGAUUUGGGCAAGUUGCCUCCAAGGAUAACUCCUGUGGAAAGAUGGCCAUGGAUUUAGGGGGGAGACCUUUUUUCCGAGAUUACCUUUGUAAAUCUGGAUGUGGUCAGGGUGGGUGGAGGGUAAUCUUAGCCACCCACAGGAGAGAUCCUUCUAGACAAUGAAGCAACACUGAGGACGGCAGAGCCAUGCCCUUGUUCUUCAGAUUACACAAGUAGGUCAAGUCCCUUUCUUCCCCUGAAGCCAGAGGUUGUCUGAAACUUUCAACUGGAGUAUGCAUAACACACCUGUGUGGAUUGAAGUGUGUCUCCCAGAAAGACGUGUCCAAGUCCCAACCUCUGGUACCUGUGAGUGUGACCUUAUUUGGAGUUAGGGUCUUUGCAGAUGUGAUCAGGCUAAGAUGAGGCCCCAUUAGAUUAGGCUGAGGACGAAGACACACACAGGAGGUAACACCGUGUAGUGAUGGAGGUAGAGAUUGGAGUGAUGCAUCCACAAGCCAAGGAAUGCCAGGAGCCCCCAGAAGCUCGGAGAGAGGCGUGGAAAUUCCCUCAGAUUCUCUCUCAGAAACUCCAGAAGAAGCCAACCCCACUGACACCUGAAUUUUGACCUUCUAGUUUCCAGAACCCUGGGAGAAUAAAUUUCUGUUGUUUCGAGCCAUCCGGUUGGUGGUGCUCUGUUACAGCAGCCCUAGGAACCUAAUACAACCCCUCGCUGAUGGUGUUGGCCAUGGAAUCACCUACCCCUUCCUUCCGAGAAACACAUGCAGGAGACUUUUAGGAAGCGCUCUCGGUGGUACCCCUAUUUGACCUAAAGAUGCAGUUUGAGGAGUUGUUUGCAUCCGAUCCCUGGCUUUUUGGCUCUCCUGCUCAACUCUCCCCCCAGCACCUAUGCUGAAAGACAUCUUAGUGUAGGCCCUCACCAUAUCUUGCCUAACUUGCAAAAAAUCGUCUGCCGUCUUUUUCUCUCUUGGUUCAUAUUCCAUACUGCCACUUUCCCCCAAAACCAACCGAUUCCAUCUUUCCUCUUGUUAAAACUCUCCAUUGGUUACCCAGGCCCUACAGAAAGCUCUAUCACAUGUGAUCGGAGAAUCUGAAGAAUCUCAUGUCAGCUUAUCUCUGUCCUGUCUAUUCUCAUUCCCUUGCCAUGUGCCCCAUCCCUUUGUUUUUUUAAUGAAAUGACCUGCAUGUAUUUGUUUGUUUGUUUGUUUGUUUUUUGUCUGUUUGUUUGUUUUUUGGCCACACCAUUCCUUAUGUGAGAUCUUAGUUCCCUGACCAGGGAUCGAACCCAUACCCCCUGCAUUGGAAACACAGAAUCUUAACCACUGGACCGCCAGGGAAGUCCCUGUGCCCCAUACUUUGAUGACACUAAGCAUGCACUAAGGGACUCUCUCCAGGGUUGUCACUCAGCAAAUAGUAUCUCUGGGAGAGGGGGGAGGUGGGUGGGGCAGACAGCAUAAGGAGCCGGUCUGAGAAGGCAGCACAGGCAGCGGGCUGUUGGGAAAAGAGCCCCAUCCUCAAGUCAGGAGACCUGAGCCCCAGCCCUGAUUUUGUCACGCAUUCGACGCACACCACAAGCAUGGCACCCACAAGGUCUGUCCACCUGCAGACCAGAUGUUUUCCAACUUCCCUUCCUGCUGCCCCACUCUGAUUUUUCACAUCUGCAGACUGAACACCAGGCCAGGUGCACGAUGAGUUAGGAACAGAGCAAAUGGCCACUGGGAGUUGGUUCCCUAGCAGCCGCCACCUCCCCUGUUUUGCCAACCCCUCCACGCUUCUGCCCGUGCUGAUUUGGUAACCGCUGUGUGAUGCACAGGAGGAAGCGGAGGAGGAGGGAAGUUAUGGGGAAAUGGUGCUGGAUGCUGAGCAAUGAAACCACAUGUGUGAAGCGGAAGCUGUGAUGCCCAAGCCAGAACCACCGCCGGCCAGAGCCCCCAGGGUCUGGAGAAUGACCCUUCGCUGACACGGAGGGGAGUCCCCCAAGGCCACGAACUGAGUGAUACUGUGUACACAGCUGACACCUUGUCUCAAGGGCGGCUGACAGCUUUCAGAAUAAGGAUCGGUCCCAUGUUCUUGAAAAGCAGCAGUGUUGACUCAUGCAAGAAAGCAUAUCCUCUUUUGAAGGUACAGUAAAGGGGCCAGAAACUCCUUUUAAUGAAACUCCAAUAGCAAAUGCGCUCCUUUUCCUUUUAGAGAACAGACGGAUCUGUGGAAUCCAAUUCAAAAAGUUCAUAGAGGCCCAAACUGGCCAAACUCACACAGCCCACAGUGGCCACUCAAGUUCCAACUGAGCUCAUGCCUCAUAAAAAGUUUUCCUGGACCCAUGCACUGCUCUCAGGCAGAUCAGCCAGAUCUUCUAGCACGGUGGCCAAGGGCACAAGGUCUGGAACCAGAAUGCAUGUGUUUGAUUCCUGGCUCUGCCCCUUAGUGGCCCGACCUUAGCAUCCCCAUCGGUCAAAUUCAGGGCUCAUGUGUUAUUAAAUGCAUUAAUACAGGAGAUGAACGGAAAACGGUGAGGUUCCGUAUGUGUUAACUUGUUAUUAUCAUAAUAAGCCAUGGCUCAUUCAUUUGAGGGCACCUGGGUCUCCACCACUAAGUAGCUCUGCAUAUCCGAGCAAAACACUUCAGCGCUUCGAGCUCUUAAACACUAGGUUCUAUGGGAUGCCCCCUGAAGUCCUUUCUGGACCUAAAAUGGAGCUCAGCCUGGUUGCCUUUCCAGGUCCUGAACUGUGUUUGCAAACCAGGACAUUGCUCUCGCUGAUUCAUGUGAGAUUCGUGAUGGAUGACUUUGUGCGUCAACUUGAUUGGGCCACAGGGUGCCCGUAGUUGGUUAAACGUGACUCUGAGUGUGUCUGUGAUGAUCUGAUAAACAACACCGCUGGGAUCCUUACAAGAGGAUCUGAGAGCCAGGAGGAGGGGUACCACACAGACCCAGCAGGCCUUGAAGCUGGAGUGUGCCUCCCAGGCUCCGCCCUCUCCAGGCCAGCUGGGAUGUGUCCCCUGACAUCCAGGGAGACCUGGAUGACCCAGCUUCCCUGGACCAUACAAUAAACAAGUGGCUGGGGCACUUCUAAGUGUUGUCAGCUGUGUCCUGGCUCAAGUUUUGUCAACAAAACGGAUGGAUUUAUAACUAAGGUUAAAAACUGCUGAGAUCUAAUUAAACAAUUCUGUCCAUUUCCCGAGAAAAAUGAGAGACACUUCAGCAGUAUUUACGGUGGCAAUUGGAGGGCCACAUACGGGUCAUGCCCAGAGGGUGGACUCUUGAGAAGAGCUGUCCAUAAAAUGAUCAUCUUUUUAAGGUGAAUGUAUUCACAAAGUUACAGUAACUGCCAUUCAUUGGGCCCUGCUCCAUGGUCUUUAUGUGUAUCAGCUCAGCUAGGCCUCCCAGUAAACCUACCAGGCACAUAUUAUUAUCCCCCUUCCUUGUUUUUCCAUUGCAGUAAAGUAGACAUAACAAAUUUUACCAUUUUAACCAUUUUUAAAUGUACAUUUUAAAGUGUACACAUAACCAUUUUUGAGUGUACCCAUGUGGCAUGACGUUCACAUUCUAUACACAUUCUGUUCCCAUUAAACAACAAAUUCCCUUUUCUGCUGCCCGCAGCCCCUGGCAACCACCAUCUACUUUCUGUCUCCAUGAGUUUGACUACUCUAGGCCCUCAUAUCAGUGGAAUCAUACGGUAUUUGUCCUUUCGUGGCUGGUUUAUCCCACUUAACAUAAUAUCUACAAGGUUCAUCCAUGUUGUACCCCAUGUCAGAAUUUCCUUUCUUUUCAAGGCUGAACGAUAUUUUGUUAUAUGUAUAUAUCACAUUUUAAAAUUCAUUCAUCUUUUGAUGAAUGCUUGGGUUGCUUCUGCCUUUCGGCUAUAGGGAAUAAUGCCGCUGUGAACAUGAAUGUACAAAUAUCUCUUUGAGUCCCUUCUUGCAGUUCUUUAGGACAUAUAACCAGAAGUGGAAUCGAUUGAUAUUAUUCCCUUUUAAAGAAGAAUAAAUCGGGUGCAGAAAGAUUACUUAUCUUGCCUACGUCUACGCAGCUAAGUGUCAGAACAAGGAUUCUCCCCAAGCAGGCUGACUCCGGUAUCCAAGCUCUUGGCCGCCACACUGCACUGCCUCUCACCCGUGACUCUUAUAUUCUGAUACAACCACACCUAGAAGGUUACAAAGCCUGGCUAUACUGACCAGAGGAAGGAUGGGCAUGGGCCUCCCAUGCCCCCCAUAUUCCCUGACUCCACACCCCUCCUACCAUAGGCUUCCAGAACCCCAGACUGACAUGACAAAAUCUCCUCCAGAGGUUGGACAUUCCAGGUUCUUCUCUGCCCGUAUCUGAGUGUAAGUUAAACUACUUGCUUUGACUGGUUCUUGUAUGAGCGCUUACCGGGCAGUCCCUCAAACAGGACAGACGUGUGUUGGUGACAGUGGUCCAUCUCUUUGGCUGUUGGCUAAGUUUUGGAACAUCUGAGGGUCCAAACCCGGGCCCCCUUCUCUUCUUAAGCCACGGUCUCUAGGGAGGGCACCUCAUCCAGAGCAACAGCUGUACGUACCAUCUGCCAUAGAUGACUCCCAGAUUUACAUCUCCAGACCUGUAUUUUCAACCACUUGUUGACUUCUCCACUGGAUGUCCAAUGGGCAUUUCAAGUUCCAAACAGUCCGAAAAGAACUUCUCCACCCCAAUGUUCAUAGUAUCAUUGUGUACAGUUGCCAAGAUAUGGAAGCAACGUAAGUGUCCAUCAGAUGAACGGAUAAAUAAGAUGUGAGAUAUAUAUAUAUAUAUACACACACACACACAAUGGAAUACUACUCAGCCAUAAAAAUGAAUGAAAUAAUGCCAUUUGCAACACGAUGGAUGGACUUAGAGGGUAUCACGCUAAGUGAAAUAAGUCAGACAGAGAAAGACAAACACUCUAUGACAUCACUUAUAUGUGGAACCUAAAAACUACAACAAAUUAGUGAAUAUAACAAAAAAGAAACAGA